UUGAACGCUGGCGGCAUGCCUUACACAUGCAAGUCGAACGGUAGAGGAGCAAUCCUCGAGAGUGGCGAACGGGUGAGUAAUGUAUCGGAACGUGCCCAGUAGUGGGGGAUAGCCCGGCGAAAGCCGGAUUAAUACCGCAUGAGACCUGAGGGUGAAAGCGGGGGACUCGCAAGAGCCUCGCGCUACUGGAGCGGCCGAUAUCAGAUUAGGUAGUUGGUGGGGUAAAGGCCUACCAAGCCUGCGAUCUGUAGCUGGUCUGAGAGGACGACCAGCCACACUGGGACUGAGACACGGCCCAGACUCCUACGGGAGGCAGCAGUGGGGAAUUUUGGACAAUGGGGGCAACCCUGAUCCAGCCAUGCCGCGUGAGUGAAGAAGGCCUUCGGGUUGUAAAGCUCUUUCGGCCGGGAAGAAAUCGUAUCAGCUAAUACCUGGUGCGGAUGACGGUACCGGCAUAAGAAGCACCGGCUAACUACGU
rnacentral:rRNA from 1 species